GGCCGGGGCCGGGCCUGGGCCGAGACAUCCCCAGGUGUCUAGAGCCCUCCUUGACCGCGGCCGGCGGGACGGCGAGGGCGGGAGCGGAGGGGAGCAUGGCACAUCGCAGCGCAGCCGCUGGUGCGCGCAAGGACAGGAUACCACGAGCCGCGUUAAAGGCCGCGACUGAAGUACGUGCCCCGAAACGCAAGAGAGAGGCCCCACGGCAGCACAGACCCAGGCUUUUGUUUUCCUUCGAUAAAGACAGCUGAACGUCAUUUGCUGCUGAGUGACUUCUAAUGAUUAAAUAACCUAUCUACCCCCUCUCGCCCCCCAGGACGUUUCGUGAUAACAUAAGAAAGGUUUUGUACAUUGUUCAGCUUACACGGCCAUCUGGCACUUCUGCAUUUCACUAGCCUUGAACAUUGAAAAAACAAUAGAUAAAGAAAAAAAUGUCCUAUCUUAUCCGCAACCUGGAGAAGUUUAACUCUGGCAGAGUACAUAGGAUUAACCAAGUCACUUUAGCUCUUUUAUAGUUUCCGUCUUCAUUAAUGGUCAUAUUCCUCCAAGCUUUCCGUUGUUGUACCCUCCCAGACAGGCUGUUCCUUAUCUGCUUUGUAUUUGUUUUAGCUGUGAAACACUUAACUCCAGCGAUCACAUCCAGCCUCUGUACUAGAAAUACUGCUUCUGAGCGAUGGAGAUACGAGAGAUGCAUGAUGAGAAAAGUGAACUGCAGAAAUCACAUUUGAUUCAGUUUCUUGCGUGCACCAAUCUGGAUGUUAGAG